UGCUUGAUGAUGACUCUCUCCUAUGAUUGCUUUGUAAUAAAGCAAAUUGAGCAAAACAUUUCACCGGCACUGAAAGCA